CCAGUUUUAAAGUGACUAUUUUGAGCAAGGCUUCAAAAACCAUUGUUUUUUUAUGUGAUACGUCAAACGCGUCAUAUUACGUAGGAAUUGGUAGACGCGGUCGCUGUUGCUGCCUCAGCUCUAUGCGUAGUUGUGAGUAGUUACCGCGGUGAGCGGUCUUGUAUUCACCCCCCCUGUGGUUUUUGGGUUUUUCUAAUCGGUGAGAUGAGGUUUUGUAUCUGUGGGGGUUGUUCCAACUCCGACCUCCUGUCCGACCAUCUCAGAUUUCACAGUUUCCCCGAUCGGAGAAAGGAUGGAGCAGCCUUUCGAGCCUGGGUGCAUUUUGUACAGGUGAAGAGAAAGGACUUUCUUUUCGCCUCUGUCACCAAAUACUCGUUCAUUUGCGCGGCUCACUUUAGACCAGAGGACUAUGUUUCCGGGGACAUGAUGGAGUUCAAGAUGGGUUUUCGGAGCGAGAAACGAGUGAGGCUGAAAGCCGGUGUGGUUCCCUCAAUUCAUGCCGCUCCAGCCGCAGCUUCGGGCUCAGCCACCGGCGGCAGUGAAGAUCACGGACCGGUCAGAGAUUCAACGAUUCGGAAACGUGAACUGUGCACUUUGCUGGGAAAUACGGCACGUUUUGAAGCCACAGAUGCGCCUACAGCCAGUGAAGACUCGGAGCAAGAGGCCGUCGCUUCCCUGGCUUCUCAGCCAAAAUCUGUGCUUCACUUUGGCUCACAGUGUCACAUAAGACCUCCUUAUCGUUCAUCAGCUAUCCAGGUACAGACACAGACGGUCAGUGUGGGGACACAGACCGAACUCUGUGUAUCAUCAAUUCCACUGCCCAGUCCAGUACAAACAGAGGAUGAAUCAUCCUCUGUUUCAAGAGAUCAACCAGAUGACAGGUCAUGGAGUGAAGUGGAAGAGAUGAGCGUGUCAUCUUCUGAGGAGGAGUCAGAGCCACAGCAGGGUUGUCAGUGGGACUUCGGAGUUGCAGACAAGUUCAUUGUCUGUCUCACCCAGCUGAUGGCUCUCUUCACCAUUUGUCCUGCCUGUUGUGGGGAAACCCAUGGUAACGUGGAGCAGCAGCAGGGAACAUUUGUUCAGAUCAAGCAAGUCUGUGCAGCUUGUGGGUUCGAGCGUGUCUGGCAGAACCAGCCAGUGCUGCAUAGAAACAUGCCAGCCUGCAACCUGAUGCUUAGUGGGGCCAUCCACUUUUCUGGUUGUAUGGCUACACAAACACUUAGGAUGUUAAAACUGUUUGGCCUUCAAUGUUUUACUGCAAACACAUUCUUCCGCCAUCAACGCCUUUACACAAUUCCCACCAUUGUGCAGGCGUGGAAGAAUGAGCAAGCUGGCAUAGUCAGCCAGCUGAAGGAGAUGGGGGGGGGUCUAAUCCUCUCAGGUGACUGCAGGUAUAACACCUCGCUUGUAUACUUUUAUAUGUUACCGUUACGUGCCGUAGUGUGUUGGUUUUGGGCUUGUUUCGUUUUGUGUUUUGUGUUCAGGCUUGCCCCGUACCGGUGACCGCCAGCAGCAUAGGACCAGCUUCUAUUGGUCGCCAGUGAGGGUGCCGUGUGUUGUUUGCUGAUCCUUGCCAAAUCUUUGCAUGUGUCCCGUCUUCGCGUGUGGAGAUCGCCUUCAGUUUAUUUUUGUGGUUCUGAGUAGCUAAGUAACAGUAUCCAUUGCAGUGUUUUUUGGCUUAAAUGUUUUAAUUAAUUAAGCUAUUCAUCAUGACAUUCAUAGGUCAGACUCUCCUGGUCAUUGUGCCAAGUAUGGGACCUACACCGUGAUUGAGGACCGCAUCAACAGGGUUUUGGAUCUUCAACUUGUCCAAAGCUCAGAGGUACCAAGCAGCAACUGGUGUGAGCUGGAGGGUUUGAAGCGAACCAUAGCAUUUCUCAAGGAGCAACACUUGCAAGUUUCAGCCCUUAUUACCGACAGAAAUCGCCAGGUUGCCAAGUGGGUGCGGGAGGAGUUGUGCCCUGAAGGAACAAGUCACUUCUUUGACAUCUGGCAUGUUGGUAAAAGCAUAGGAAAAGCGCUAGAUGCUGCUGCAAAGGAGAGGGGUUGUGAGGACCUUAAGCUGUGGAGGCCAUCGAUUGUCAACCACCUAUACUGGACUGCAGCUUCCACACCUAAUGGGGAUCCAAAUGUAAUGGAGGCCAAGUGGCAAAGCAUGGUGAACCAUGUUCAGGACAUCCAUGAACAUGACAGUCCUGGAUUUCCCUCCUGUGCACAUCUCCCUUUGGAGGGAGAAGCAAGGAACAAGCAGUGGCUGGAACCAGGAUCAACUGUAGCUAUUAAGUUGGAGAGUGUCACUACAAGAACAGCAUUGUUGAAGGAUGUUCGGCAGUUGUCCCCACAGCAUCAGACCUUUUCCCUGGAGGCCUUUCACUCGCUUAUCCUCCACUUUGCACCUAAG